UCCGUACAAGAAAUUCUACUAAUCCGAAACUUUUUCUUUUCCUCGAUCUAGCUUCGAAUUUGAGUUGUCCAAAUCUAUAUAAAUGAAUUUAAUCAUCAAUUUAAUCCAUUUCAUAUUCAAUUGGAUUCAAUUUACACCUUAGGAAAAAUUACCAUUUUGCCCCUAAACUUUUCAUAAAUUCCAUUUUCGUCUAUAGGCUCAGAAAAUGAAAUCCAUGCAAUUUUAUC
rnacentral:lncRNA from 1 species